CCCCGCAGCCGGAGCGCGCUCUGCCCGGCCAGGAAUGUGGUCAGCGGUCGCCGUUCGCAGCCCCUUAUUUGAGCCUCGAGGCGCCCCCGGGGCGGCGCAAUCUGCAGGGCAGGAGUGUACGGCCAACAGGCAUAAGGUAAGCCCAGGUUGGACCAGGUAAGCGAUCCGAGUCUGGCGCGGGCUGACCGAGAGUACGGCAGUACAACACAGGUAUAGCUGCGGUCGUUCAGACUUAAGUAUGCGGAAGGUACAGUCUGGGGUGCAUCGAGUGAAUCAAGUGCACAAAGGUUGGUCCACACACCACGGGAGGCAGAGCCAUGGUUAUAAAGACAGGUACACCCAGGCGGGCACCUUUCUCAUUGAGACAGGAAGACUCAACAGGUAACCGUGACUGGAGCAGGUACACAGAAGUGGGGCCCCACCCAGGUCCAAGUACAUUUUUUUUUUUUUUUUUUUCUGAAAUAAGGACCUUGCUGGGAUAGAAAGGCAGCACCAGGAGCUCCAGUUCCAUGGCACCAGGUGCCACCUAUGUCACUUUUGAAAUCACCAGUGACCCCACCUAGCUAACUCCCUGCUUUGUUGCCUGGUCAUCUUUAAAGACCCCGAAGGAUCUCCACGUCAGUGCCCCCCAGGCACAGCAACCCCAGGAGCUGGCCUCCAGGAGAGAGAGAAAACAAGCCUUCCCCCAGAUCACAUCCAGGGCUGGGCUCCUCUCUGUGCUCCCCACCACUCCUGCUGAGCACUGUGUGUGCCAGUAGCCUUAAUCUUCACACAAGGGCCACUUUUAGAGUUGAGAAAAGUUCAGUGAAAAGUGCUGUAUAUUUAGACAUGUGCUCAUGUGUAGUAACUCCCUUUAAGAUAGUAAGAAUAUUAAAUGAGUCCAGAUUAAUCAGCAUAAUGAUGAUAGUCAACCACAGCGAUAAUACCUCGCAUUUAUGGAGGACUCACUGGGCGGCAGGCACGGUGCCAACGCCUUGCAGACACUUCCGUGCCUUUGCAUCUCUCCUCCUCGGCCCAGGAGUGCUCUCCCCUUCUUCCCUGGCUACAGCUGCCUGGCCAAUUCUGUUCCUCUUUUGGAUGAUGUCACCUCCUCUGUGAGGCCUGCCCAGACUCCUUUGGUGCUGAGUUGCUUCCUCCUUAGUGCUCCCACAGCACCCUGCCUGUGUCCCUACGUGCUGGAUUGUGAUUGCCUGCUUGGACCGCCUCCGGGGCCAGGGCCGGGCUGGGACUCCGCCUGUAAUCCCUGGCCCCGUGCUACCCAGCACUGUGCCAGUGGGAGCCAGCAGGGCUGGGGGAUGAGUCACGCAGCUCCGUGUCCUCCCAGAGUGAGCUGCAGUCUCGCUCUCUUCCGGCUUGUAAAGGCAGCUCUUUCCCGAGAAGCUGACUCUCUUCUGCAGAACGCAGGGCUGCUCUGGGGAAACCCUCCUCCACUUACCCCUGGAUUUUGCACACCCCGGCCCCAAACCCCAGGAGACCUCUGGAUCAAAUGUGCCGAGCCCACACCCCUUCCUCUGCCUCUUGCAUGCCGGUCCCAGUGGCUUGGCUUGCCAGCUUCCUUCCUGGAGCCUUCCUGCUCUCCUGCCAUCUGCCUUCACCUGGCCAGCCUGGGCGGGGUCUGCAGAGUUCCAGGAAUGGUCACCCACUAGAUGGGCGAUGGGGAGAGGUUGGAGAGGGAAAGGUCCCAGGAAUUACUUUGCCCUUUGGUAACUCCACUGGGAAGCUCAGAUGGGAGCACACAGGAGCUAGGUCACCUCUGUAGGAAGAGUGGGCAGACUGCCCCCGAGCCUUAGCAGAGUGGUUUUGCAGAGGUUCAGUUCCACAAGGUCUCUUGGAAAUGGAGAAAGGGACAGAUUCCUUUCAUGUUUUGAGCUCCUAGUAUGUUUUACAUUUUAUUUUAUUUUUCUAUUCUAUUCAUUUUCUUUUUUCUUUACUUUUCUUUUCUUUUCUGUGCCCAUGGCAUACAUUUGGGCCAGGGAUCAAACCUAUGUCACAGUAGUGACAACACCGGAUCCUUAAACACUAGGCUACCAGGGAACUCCAGCUUCCAGUAUAUUUUAAAAAGACUUGUCACAGUAGAGCUACAAAAAUUGAAGUGUGGGAGUUCCCUGGUGACACAACAAGUUAAGGAUCCAGCGUUGUCACUGAAGUAGCUUGGGUCACUGCUGUGGCUUGGGUUCAGUCCCUGGCCCGGGAACUUCCACACACCACAGGUGUGGCCAGAAAAAAUUGAAUUGUGUUUUAAAAUUUAAUCGAGUUUUCACUGUGGUGCAACAGAUUAAGGAUCCAGUGUUGUCUCUGUGGUGGUACAGGUUCAAUCCCCAGUCUGGAGCAGUGGGUUAAGGAUCCAUUGUUGCCCCAGCUGUGGCAUAGGGCCCAUCUGUGGCUUGGAUUUGCUCCCUGGCCAGGGAACUUCCAUAUGCUGUGGG
rnacentral:lncRNA from 1 species